GAUGAACGCUGACAGAAUGCUUAGCACAUGCAAGUCAACUUGAAUUUGGGUUUUUAACUUAGAUUUGGGUGGCGGACGGGUGAGUAACGCGUAAAGAACUUGCCUCACAGCUAGGGACAACAUUUAGAAAUGAAUGCUAAUACCUGAUAUUAUGAUUUUAAGGCAUCUUAGAAUUAUGAAAGCUAUAAGCACUGUGAGAGAGCUUUGCGUCCCAUUAGCUAGUUGGAGAGGUAACAGCUCACCAAGGCGAUGAUGGGUAGCCGGCCUGAGAGGGUGAACGGCCACAAGGGGACUGAGUCACGGCCCUUACUCCUACGGGAGGCAGCAGUGGGGAAUAUUGGACAAUGGACCGAGAGUCUGAUCCAGCAAUUCUGUGUGCACGAUGAAGUUUUUCGGAAUGUAAAGUGCUUUCAGUUGGGAAGAAAGAAAUGACGGUACCAACAGAAGAAGUGACGGCUAAAUACGUGCCAGCAGCCGCGGUAAUACGUAUGUCACAAGCGUUAUCCGGAUUUAUUGGGCGUAAAGCGCGUCUAGGUGGUUAUGUAAGUCUGAUGUGAAAAUGCAGGGCUCAACUCUGUAUUGCGUUGGAAACUGUAUAACUAGAGUACUGGAGAGGUAAGCGGAACUACAAGUGUAGAGGUGGAAUUCGUAGAUAUUUGUAGGAAUGCCGAUGGGGAAGCCAGCUUACUGGACAGAUACUGACGCUAAAGCGCGAAAGCGUGGGUAGCAAACAGG
rnacentral:rRNA from 1 species